rnacentral:rRNA from 1 species
GGGUGCGAUCAUACCAGUACUAAUGCACCGGAUCCCAUCAGAACUCCGCAGUUAAGCGUGCUUGGGCGAGAGUAUUACUAGGAUGGGUGACCUCCUGGGAAGUCCUCGUGUUGCACCCC